rnacentral:pre_miRNA from 1 species
GGUGUACUCCCUCCGUCCGGAAAUAUUUGUCAUUGAAAUGGAUGUAUCUAGAUGUAUUUUAGUUCUAGACACAUCCAUUUUGAUGACAAGUAAUUCCGGACGGAGGGAGUACAUA